UCCGGUUUAACACCGGCAGUCCCUCUAGAGAUCCACUUGCGUGGCAACUAAAGGCGAGGGUUGCGCUCGUUGCGGGACUUAACCCAACAUCUCACGACACGAGCUGACGACAGCCACGCAGCACCUGUGUCCAGGUCCCGUAAGGGAAGGAAUCCAUCUCUGGAAGCCGUCCUGGCAUGUCAAACGCUGGUAAGGUUCUGCGCGUUGCUUCGAAUUAAACCACAUGCUCCACCGCUUGUGUAGGCCCCCGUCAAUUUCUUUGAGUUUUAACCUUGCGGCCGUACUCCCCAGGCGGCAUAUUUAACGCGUUAGCUCCGGCACAGAUCAACUGAAUGACCUACACCAAAUAUGCAUCGUUUAGGGCGUGGACUAC
rnacentral:misc_RNA from 1 species